rnacentral:rRNA from 1 species
GACGAACGCUGGCGGCGUGCUUAACACAUGCAAGUCGAACGGAAAGGCCCUGCUUUUGUGGGGUUCUCGAGUGGCGAACGGGUGAGUAACACGUGAGUAACCUGCCCUUGACUUUGGGAUAACUUCAGGAAACUGGGGCUAAUACCGGAUAUGAGCUCCUGCUGCAUGGUGGUGGUUGGAAAGUUUCGGCGGUUGGGGAUGGACUCGCGGCUUAUCAGCUUGUUGGUGGGGUAGUGGCUUACCAAGGCUUUGACGGGUAGCCGGCCUGAGAGGGUGACCGGCGACAUGGGGACUGAGAUACGGCCCAGACUCCUACGGGAGGCAGCAGUGGGGAAUAUUGCACAAUGGGCGGAAGUCUGAUGCAGCAACGCCGCGUGCGGGAUGACGGCCUUCGGGUUGUAAACCGCUUUCGCCUGUGACGAAGCGUGAGUGACGGUAAUGGGUAAAGAAGCACCGGCUAACUACGUG